rnacentral:rRNA from 1 species
CCUACGGGUGACAGCAGUGAGGAAUAUUGGUCAAUGGGCGCGAGCCUGAACCAGCCAAGUAGCGUGAAGGAUGACUGCCCUACGGAUUGUAAACUUCUUUUAUAAAGGAAUAAAGUGAGGCACGUGUGCCUUUUUGUAUGUACUUUAUGAAUAAGGAUCGGCUAACUCCGUGCCAGCAGCCGCGGUAAUACGGAGGAUCCGAGCGUUAUCCGGAUUUAUUGGGUUUAAAGGGAGCGUAGAUGGGUUGUUAAGUCAGUUGUGAAAGUUUGCGGCUCAACCGUAAAAUUGCAAUUGAUACUGGCAGCCUUGAGUAUAGUUGAGGUAGGCGGAAUGCGUGGUGUAGCGGUGAAAUGCAUAGAGAUCACGCAGAACUCCGAUCGCGAAGGCAGCCUACCGGCGCACAACUGACGCUCAUGCGCGAAAGCGUGGGGAGCAAACAGGAUUAGAUACCCGGGUAGUC